AAAAAAGCGUCAGCAGCGGAAGAGAAUCCUAUGUCAAGUGUAAAGGUCACUUGUGAGUCUUUGCUGGAUUUUUUUGCCAAACGAUAAAUAACCGGUUUUUUUGUGCGGACAUAAGUUUUCAUCUCCUUUGGAUAAAUACCAAGUAGUAUGAUUGCUGGAUCAUAAUGGCGAAGAAGGCGCUUUGUUUUCCCCUUCACCUUCUACCAUGACUGUACAUUUUAUGAGGCUUCCCCAACCAUACUGAACGAGUGCAGUGGCUACUCACAGGCCUUGAAGUCCUGGGCUCAAGCAAUCCUCCCACCUCAGGCUCCUGAAUAGCUGAGAACACUACAUGUAGUCUUACAUAGACCAGCAUUACUGUCUUCACAAUGGGAGAUGCAGAACAGCUGGCAGGAAUCAAUGUACUCUGUGUUUCUCAUGGGAGAAAGAAAGAACACUGAAGGAAACAAGGACUGUGCCAGGAGAGGUGAUUAAGCAAUUAGAAUAUUUUGAAGUCUAAAAUAACUGUAGUAUCAGGAGAACAACUGAACGAGAAAAUAAAUUACUGAGAGUAAAGCAGUCUGUAGAUUUUGGGAAGAUUCGUAGGUGUGUGAGAAACAAGACAUUUUGGAAUCUUAAUGUAAUCUGAGAAGUAAAAUAGACCUGUAUUCCUGUCAUUCUCUUUCUCAUUUUCUUCCUCCUCACCAAAUCAUGAUGUGGUUUAUUUCCUCCUCCAGGAUGCUCUCAACAGAGCACCUG
rnacentral:lncRNA from 1 species